AUUUUGUGUGGUUAUUUAGUCAUGAUUUGGAACUGUCCUUUGUAGUUAUAAAUAUAUACAAUUGCAAGACAUGUAUUCGGAAGUACUAUGAGUAUUCAGUAUCAGCUGAAAACUACAGAAUCAGCAAAUACUAUUUUAUUUGCUACAUCUACAUAUAUAUUUGUCGAAAUAAUAAUAACACUAAAAAAAUUCGUAACUGAAUUUCAGAUAUAUAUGACAUAUUAAAUUUAUUCGAUAUUUUUUGAAAAGAUUUUUUGGGCAAAUACUUAUUCCAUAUUUCAAUCAUGUUUGUUAUUCACGACUACACUGUAUUGAAUAGAAUGUUUUUACUCGAUAUGAAUGCAUAUCCUGUUUCUGCUGCUCGUAGAAAAGACUGUUUACAUUAAAUUUGAGAUAAACAACGCGAAUCGAAAAACAAUCAAUAUUUGCUUAGCGUUGUUGGUAGACUCGUGGCACUAAGCGCGAAACAGCUAAUCUGGUGAGCCUAAGAGUGUAACUUCUGUACUGUGAUGUUUAGGUGAUCUCAAUCAGGGCAAAAUUCAAAUUUUUACUUAUUUAUAAUAAAAAAAAAAGUAAUUGGCAUUCUUAUCAAAUAUUAUUGCUGAAUUUCUAAUUAGUGCAUCGAGAUCUCGUUUUCUAAGCUACGAGAUUGCGAAUUGCUCUUUCUUGUUUGGAUGCAAUUUUAUGACAGUACGGAAUAAUAAUCAUUGUCAGGCAUACUUUGUUUUCAUUAGACCAAGAUAAGUUUAUUAAAAAACGACACAAGAUCUUUCAACUUGUCAAUCAAACAAGAUGCAAAACAAGGUUUUGUUUUUAUUCCUGCUUCUUCUUGUUUACAUUAUCGGGUUGGCGAAUGGUUUGAGUUUAGCGGAAAGAAUGACAGAUCGCCAAAACUUUGACACUGAUAUUCAAAGACUGUGCUGCGCAGCUGGACGGUGGUGUUGUACAUUCUAGAUUUAGCAAAAAGCUUGACAAGCUGAAGCUUCGGGCCUCAAAAUCCACGUCUCGAUUUUCAAUACUAAAAUAUAUAUCAAUAUUUAUUUAUUUUUCUGCAGAUUUUGGCCUGUUUGAAUUUUUCAAAACUAAAAUUAUAUCUAUUUGUUAAUCAGGUUUUUAUUAAUUAUGUAUAUUUGGAAUCGAUCGUUUAACCUCUUUGUGGAGUAUUUUGUAAAUGAAUGUUUGAUAAUUUUCUAAACAAAAUUUAUUAACAUACGGCAGUUUAAGGGAGCAGAAUUGUGAUACAAAAAAUUUGCUCAUUUCCGAAAAAAAGCAAUAAAGCUCAGCUUUCAAAGAAAA